rnacentral:pre_miRNA from 1 species
GUAAGUGAGUUGACAGAAGAGAGUGAGCACACAGGGUACUUUCUUGCAUGACGUUCAUGCUUGAAGCUUUGCGUGCCCACCCUCUAUCUGUCACCCCAUCA